AUCAAAGCUCCAAACCUCCAUGGCCACCGCAUGGGCGGUCGAGCCUCCCCAUGCAUCGGACGGACAGUCGAACGGCUGCCCCUUGCUACUGCAGACGUCGGAGAAGGCUGCAGUCCCCCUUCUUGAUGCGAUCGGCCAGCGCAUCCUGUAGCUGGAGCUGCUGUUCAAGCGGUCAAUCCAAAACUGCGUGCGGUGGUGCUGCCACCGCCGCUG
rnacentral:lncRNA from 1 species